GACCGCGGGCCAGGAACAGAUUUCCAUGACCAAUCGCCUCCCGAGCGAUAACACGUAUAUGGUUAAGGGCGAUGUGUAAUGAACCCUCGUGGACGUCAUCUGUCGCUCCGUUGGUGGGUUGAGGAAUGGCAGCCACCCAAAUAGGU